AGAGCAAAGAAUUAGGCCAGGAGUUGUUUAUGGGCUUUGGCAUCAUCUGAGAAGAGUAGAAUAUCAUCAAUAUAGAUUUGGGCCAAAUACAGAAUGGGCUCAAAGAUUCAAACCAUGGCUUUUUGAAACAAUGGUGAUGCUAAUUUUAAGCCAAAUGGCAUCACGGUCUAUUGGUAUUGGGCAUUGAGAAUACAAAAUACUGUUUUAUAUCUAUCUGCUGUAUCUAUGUCCAAUUGCUAGAAUCCCACCUUUAGAUCAAAUUUUGAAAAUAUGUGGGCAUGAUGGAAAUAGGUAAACAGGGAACUGAUUUUUAGAAGAGGAAAUUUAUCAUCUCGUACAAAAUGAUUUGUAAUCAAUUACUAGCCUAUUUUUUCCCCAAACUUUUUCAGAUUGUUUUUCCAUAUAAAAGGCCUGGCAUGCCCAUUUUGAUUUGGUGGGUUCUAUAAGACCUCGUUGAAGUAGCUGCUAGCAUUCUUCUUAUGCAAGUCGAAGGUCUGAUGUUGUCCUACCAAGAUGUGUAGCCUUUAUAGGAUUAACUUCUUCGUUAAGCUUAAAGGGAAGCUUAAUAAAGAAUUUAGGAUUUUUCCAUAAAAGCUUUUCAUGGUGGAAAUCUGCAUGAGAAUCGGCACAAGAUGGCAUAAGCAGAUCUCGGAACUCCUAAAAGUCUUCUGGAGCUUUUGAAAGAGUGAGCAAUUUUGGGACUGUGGUAUAAGGUUUGAAAAAUCUUUUGAACUUUAAGCCAUUAGGGAGAAUUUGAAGUUUCUGAGUCUAUUGAUAAGUAUCAAACUCAAUCAAUAAAUCUGUGCCAUGAAGGUUUGUACCAAUUACUCUAGUCCAGAUUAUACUUUAGCAUUGAAGUUGGGAAAAUAGAUUUAUGAAGUCAUCAUUACCAUUAGAUUCUUCCAAAAAGAAAAAAGAAAAGAAAAUGACAGAGAGAUUACUUCUGAGGAAGGAAGUUAUUCUUGGAGAGACAAGCUUGAAUGUCGCAAGCUUCUUUCUUGCACGGCUCUUUGCUCGGUUGCGCCAUUUCUCUGGUUCUCUCACCAGCUCCCUCCUUAGGAUUAUUAAUUUUCAAUUUAAUGGUGAUUUCCAGAGAAAUUGCACAAAAACGGUACCGUUUAAUUUGGAUUGUCCAUGAGAAAACUAGGAGCUCGGGCCUCAGACUUCUGAAACAAUCUCCAUGGAUUGGAAGAUUCCCCAAGCCCAACCUUUUCUCUAUCAUAGCAUUGCCAGCCAAAUUCAGAGCUGAACAGCUGCUUAUAUUUUAUGGUGAAGCACCCUCUGUACUUUUUAGUUUCUGUCUCUGUUAUCCCUGUCCGGAAUGGAAACAGCAAAGCUAUUAAGAAGAGUAUUCCGAACGAAAGUAAAGCAAGCAUCUUUGCUAUGGCUUGAGGGUUUUCGAGAAGCUUGUUGCCUGCACAGAGUAGUUAUUCUUUGUCUCAGGUCAAGAAAGCUUUUGAUUAGAACAGGGCAGUGUUUUCUCUUGAAUGGCUUCAUUUUCUUGGGAAGUAUUUUUGUCCUGAACUCAGUCGUCAUCCCAACAUUACAAUGGAUACUACCUGAUCAGUAUUCAGAUAUUAGUUCUCAAGAGCCAUGCACAUUCAGCAGUAUUUUAAAACUUUAUUCUUUUUUACGCGUUGUACUCAUACAACUCUUUUAUGUAAGUAUGCAGAUCAUACAUGCUUAUGACUUUGUGUUCGUGCUUCUGUAAAUUCUAUGAAAUUCUUACUUAUUAGGAUGCGUGGGUUUUCUUUAGUUUCUGGAUCAUGAAACUGGGAUAGGUAGCUUAUAUAGUUUGCAAACACAUACAAAAUAUAAUAAUACAAUCUUUACUCUUAGCCUUAGAAAACAUUAAAUUGUAGUUUUAUAAAAUAUUAAAUCAUAACCACUAAUCUAAACAACAAAUAAAGGAGUCUGGAAGACCACAGUACCCAAUCAUGUCAACUGCAACAGCAGCACAAACACUAAUUCAACAUCUAAGGCAAGAUAUAAUUUUUAAGUGCAAAUAUCCUUUUGAAAAUUUGCUGGAUCUUAAUUCAGUUCAUUUUCAAAGAAAUAUGAAGGUAGGAAGAUUCUAGGUCAUACACCUAGUGUCCCCUUUGUAUCAUAUAAGAUAACUGCUAUUUGCUAAGUUGAUCUCCAUCGAAUUUGACAGCAGAUGCAGCCUUAAAGGUAUGCAACUAUGCAUAACUCUAAGAAGGCUACAAUUGACAUUUGGAAAGUAUGGAAUUUAAACUUGCUUACUGCUUAUUCAAUAGUCAAGCCAAUAAGGUCUCGCCUUAAGUUGCAAUGACAUGACUGGACUACAGAAUAGUUCUGCAGAGUUGUGUGGAAGUCCCAUAUCUCAUAAAACUUUGAACUGGUGAAGAUGCUUUUGACUCAUUAAAUUGAACAGAACUCAGAACUAGAAUACCUUGCAGCAUAUCUGUAUAAACUAACUUGAAAAUAAAACUUUGAAUCACCUAGAAAAAGCAGUGCAUUGUCUCAAGUGGAUGCCACAGAAAGAAAAACUAAACAAUCUUAGAAUUCUUUGGAUUUCAGUUUGCUUUCUAUUGAGGCUUUUGUUUGUGUUAAACACUUUUUCUUCAUAGGUUGAAUUGUGUUCUCUUAAGUUUUCAAUUUUCUUCCCCCCUGUUAGAUAACAAUGUGUUCCUCUACCCCCUAAAAAUCUUUAUCUGAACCCAAGAAGUAAGAAUUAUAUAUGUAUCU
rnacentral:misc_RNA from 1 species